CCAGCCUUAUGAGAUCAUACUUAAGUCCAAGCAAAUAUACUUGCACAAAAUAAUUUAUAUUCUAUUUAUCACCACUAUAUAUACACAUUAAUAGCCAUUUUGUACAUAACAUUUACACACUAUGGGAAGAGAUGACAUUACAAGAUCAUGCACACAUGGUGAUGCUAUAUAUCAUGAGCAAUUUUACAGUUUUCGAGAAGAUAUCUUUUUUUCUAGUUAAAUUUGGUAUCUUAGGUAUUAUGAGGUACCAAAUUUUACAUUAAAAUUUUGAUAUCUACUCAAGUACCGUAAAAUUUCUCAAAUAUCAUAUAUGCAUGCAUGCCGCAUGCAUGUUUACGCUACUACUUACAACGGAACAGACACAAAUAUAUAUCGAUCUAUCAACACACAUAAUACACAUCACAUGUACAUAUAUAUAUACAAGUUAAGCUAGCGGAACAAUGUUAUUUGAUUUCCUGGAUUAAUUCAUGUGUAUAAAUCCUUAGUUCUGCAAUAAGUAGAGAAUAAUAAUCUGUAUAUAUGCUUGAUAUUCCAGUUCGCCCUGCCACUUUUCGUCAUCAUCGCCGGCCGCCGCCGCCCGACGCCGCCACGUUCAGAAGAGGAACGCCGCCGGCGCCGCAAACGCCGGCAUGGACACCGCCAUCUCGAUGUGCCUGCACGCACGUACGCAUGCAUCGAUCGAUCAUCAUCUAUAUGUCGCAAGCUGUGUUCAUCGCUACCUACCUACCUGUGUUCAUCGCUGUGUGCGCGGGGAAGAACCCUGGCGGCG
rnacentral:lncRNA from 1 species